rnacentral:piRNA from 1 species
UACAGUCUGAGUGUGCUCUGGCCAUGGUC